AAUAACAAAAAAUGUUGGAUGGAGAUUGCUGUUCCUGCUGUUCUAAUUGCACCUAAUAGGAUUUCAAUUUCUCCUCAGCUAGAGACAAUAUUUGAAGAAAAAGAUUUUGAGGAUUCUAAUUUUUAUGAAAUCAUUUCUAGGAUAGGGGAAUGUGUUUUAUUCCCUAAAGUGUUGAGAUCAGUGAAGUUGAAAUGAUUUUAGAAUUGUUAUUUUCUGAUGGAACUUAUUGUUCAUCCCUUUUCAUGAGAAAUUUAGUCUCAAUAAAUUUUCUCGUUUAAUCGUAAUUGUGCUAGUGUUAUUUGUAUUCAGAGUUGC
rnacentral:lncRNA from 1 species